rnacentral:rRNA from 1 species
ACCAACAGGGAUUGCCUCAGUAACGGCGAGUGAAGCGGCAAAAGCUCAAAUUUGAAAUCCCCCCGGGGAGUUGUAAUUUGAAGAUUGCGUCUUGGAGGCGACCGUGUCUAUGUUCCUUGGAACAGGACGUCACAGAGGGUGAGAAUCCCGUGCGGCACGGCCCCCGGCUCCUUAUAAGGCGCUCUCGACGAGUCGAGUUGUUUGGGAAUGCAGCUCAAAGUGGGUGGUAAAUUCCAUCUAAAGCUAAAUACAGGCGAGAGACCGAUAGCGAACAAGUACAGUGAUGGAAAGAUGAAAAGCACUUUGAAAAGAGAGUGAAACAGCACGUGAAAUUGUUGAAAGGGAAGGGCAUGCCGUCAGAUUGUCAGUGUGGGUAAGAAGCGGGGUACAAAGACUGUGGAACGUGGCCCUCGGGUGUUAUAGCCGCAGUUCAUGCCCCGUCUCUUUCCGAGGCCUGCUUUGAGGACACCGACGUAAUGACGGUACGCC